rnacentral:rRNA from 1 species
GACGAACCGUCCAAACGUUGUUCGGAAUCACUGGGCUUAAAGGGCGCGUAGGCGGGCCCGCCAGUCGGGGGUGAAAGCGUUCGGCUCAACCGGACAAGUGCCCCCGAUACUGCGGGCCUGGAGGGAGGUAGGGGUCUGUGGAACUUCGGGUGGAGCGGUGAAAUGCGUUGAUAUCCGAAGGAACGCCGGUGGCGAAAGCGACGGACUGGACCUCUUCUGACGCUGAGGCGCGAAAGCCAGGGGAGCGAACGGG